GGACAGAAAACAAUAAAACACCACUCCAACUUUAAACAACUGGUUUUGUGAACUGUGAUUUAAAUAAUAGAGAAGUGACUGGCUUAGAGUCUGAUGUAUUUCAUGGGCAGCAUGAAGCAGUGGCUGAUAGAAA